rfam:Myotis davidii contig82527, whole genome shotgun sequence.
GAGACACCCCUAUGGAGCAAUACUUGCUUCAUUGGGGCUUUGGUGCUCACUGAGACUGCCCCCUGAGUGUGUCCCU